rnacentral:lncRNA from 1 species
GGAUGGUCCACACGAAGUCCCUCAGACCGAUUAGCCCUCUGCAGGAGUGCUAGCUCGUGCAGUUGGAUUCUGAUGGCAGAUCUGACUUGAUCUCCUUCUUCGAUCACCUUGAACCUUUUUGAUGUCGAAGAUGGAUCAAAGAAGAAUGCUGGAUGGUCAAAAAAAUUUAGAUGAAGACUCUCUUCUCUUUGAUUAUUUUCUCACCCAAAAAUCUAGAACAGUUCUAGGUCUCUCACCCAAAGGGAGAACGGUCUCCUCUUUUGUUCAUGCCAAGGAGGAAGGAAACCCACCCAAUCCUCAUAUCCCAAAGAAGUAUUUUUGACCUUCUUUCUCUUUGGUAUCUUUUGGUAAAGAGCUCUCUUCUUUUGGCACACAAAAUUAUGGCCUUUUUAUGGU